rnacentral:ncRNA from 1 species
GAACGCCGUGUGAAGGGAAACUUUCAUGCACGGUGUGGGACGGGGGAAAAGGCAGCGAUAAUAUCAAAGCCUUACCUAUCGUUAU